rnacentral:rRNA from 1 species
CAGUAGCCGCGGUAAUACAGAGGGUGCGAGCGUUAAUCGGAUUUACUGGGCGUAAAGCGUGCGUAGGCGGCUAAUUGAGUCGGAUGUGAAAUCCCCGAGCUUAACUUGGGAAUUGCAUUCGAUACUGGUUAGCUAGAGUGUGGGAGAGGAUGGUAGAAUUCCAGGUGUAGCGGUGAAAUGCGUAGAUAUCUGGAGGAAUACCGAUGGCGAAGGCAGCCAUCUGGCCUAAUACUGACGCUGAGGUACGAAAGCAUGGGGAGCAAACAGGAUUAGAUACCCGCGUAGUCCCUGUCUCUUAUAC